rnacentral:rRNA from 1 species
GUAGGGUGCAAGCGUUAAUCGGAAUUACUGGGCGUAAAGCGUGCGCAGGCGGUGAUGUAAGACAGGUGUGAAAUCCCCGGGCUUAACCUGGGAACUGCAUUUGUGACUGCAUCGCUGGAGUGCGGCAGAGGGGGAUGGAAUUCCGCGUGUAGCAGUGAAAUGCGUAGAUAUGCGGAGGAACACCGAUGGCGAAGGCAAUCCCCUGGGCCUGCACUGACGCUCAUGCACGAAAGCGUGGGGAGCAAACAGGAUUAGAUACCCUGGUAGUCCACGCCCUAAACGAUGUCAACUGGUUGUUGGGUCUUCACUGACUCAGUAACGAAGCUAACGCGUGAGUUGACCGCCUGGGGAGUACGGCCGCAAGGUUG